UACGUAGGGUGCAAGCGUUGUCCGGAAUUAUUGGGCGUAAAGAGCUCGUAGGCGGUUUGUCGCGUCGGCUGUGAAAUCCCGAGGCUCAACCUCGGGCCUGCAGUCGAUACGGGCAAACUAGAGUGUGGUAGGGGAGACUGGAAUUCCUGGUGUAGCGGUGAAAUGCGCAGAUAUCAGGAGGAACACCGGCGGCGAAGGCGGGUCUCUGGGCCAUAACUGACGCUGAUGCACGAAAGCUAGGGGAGCAAACAGG
rnacentral:rRNA from 1 species